GAUGAACGCUGGCGGCGUGCCUAACACAUGCAAGUCGAGCGAGAAUUUACAGGAUGAAGCUUCGGCAGAUUUCUGUAAAGGAAAGCGGCGGACGGGUGAGUAACGCGUGAGUAACCUGCCCUCUGGAGGGGGAUAACACAUCGAAAGAUGUGCUAAUACCGCAUAACAUACAUUUACCGCAUGAUAGAUGUAUCAAAGAUUUAUCGCCAAAGGAUGGACUCGCGUCUGAUUAGAUAGUUGGUGAGGUAACGGCUCACCAAGUCGAUGAUCAGUAGCCGAACUGAGAGGUUGAUCGGCCACAUUGGGACUGAGACACGGCCCAGACUCCUACGGGAGGCAGCAGUGGGGAAUAUUGCGCAAUGGGGGAAACCCUGACGCAGCAACGCCGCGUGAAGGAUGAAGGUCUUCGGAUUGUAAACUUUUGUCUUAUGGGACGAAAAAGGACGGUACCAUAGGAGGAAGCCACGGCCAACUACGUGCCAGCCGCCGCAGUAACAC
rnacentral:rRNA from 1 species